rnacentral:rRNA from 1 species
UACGGAAGGCAGCAGUGGGGAAUAUUGCACAAUGGGCGCAAGCCUGAUGCAGCCAUGCCGCGUGUAUGAAGAAGGCCUUCGGGUUGUAAAGUACUUUCAGUCGUGAGGAAGGUGUUAAGGUUAAUAACCUUAGCAAUUGACGUUAGCGACAGAAGAAGCACCGGCUAACUCCGUGCCAGCAGCCGCGGUAAUACGGAGGGUGCGAGCGUUAAUCGGAAUUACUGGGCGUAAAGGGCACGCAGGCGGUUAAUUAAGUUGGAUGUGAAAUCCCCGGGCUUAACCUGGGAAUGGCAUUCAAGACUGGUUAGCUAGAGUCUUGUAGAGGGGGUAGAAUUCCAUGUGUAGCGGUGAAAUGCGUAGAGAUGUGGAGGAAUACCGGUGGCGAAGGCGGCCCCUGGACAAAAGACUGACGCUCAUGUGCGAAAGCGUGGGGAGCAAAACAGGGAUUAGAUACC